rnacentral:lncRNA from 12 species
CUCCUCCAUGAGGGUUGGAAUCAACGUCCUUCAAACUUCUAUUCAUGUUGAUAUUUUGACCAAUUUCCAUGAAUCCAUGAAUGUUCUUUAUGUCAUUGACAAUGGUGAAUCCUUUCUGAAAGAUUUUCAAUAUUCUUUGCCCAGAUCCAGCAGAGGAAUCACUACCUAUGGCAGUUAUCACCUUAUGUUCUACAUCAAAGUGUUGGCUGCCAUGGAGACCAAAGGACACAAAUAUCAAGUAAAAUCUAAGUCAACAGCUGGUAAUUCCUGUUGGGAGGGAUAUUUCUCUUUUCUCUAUGAAGAAUGAUUUUCUAAGUUCAGCAGUGGGGAAAGCAAGAUUCAUAAAGCUGAUGAUGCAAACGUGUCCCUCAGUGAGUUGCAGAGUAUGAAGUAUAAUAGCUUUCCAGCUAUUUGUAAUAGCCAAGCAAAAUAAGAAGAUGGCUGUUAUAGAAGGAAGCCUGCAUCACCGAGGAAAGCAGGUGAGGGUCAUUUGCUAUUGUACUCACCUCAUCUACAGAAAGAACUGGUCCUGAGGAAUUUUAAAGAAUUAAGGAGGUGGAACUCUCUCCUCCAGCAAUCCAAGAUGCCAAAAGGAAAAAAGGUAAAAGGGAAGAAGGUGGCCCUGGCCCCUGCUGUUGUGAAGAAGCAGGAGGCCAAGAAGGUGGUCAAUCCCCUGUUCUGGAAGAGACCCAAGAAUUUUGGCAUUGGGCAGGACAUCCAGCCCAAAAGGGACCUCGCCCAAUUUGUCAAAUGGCCAUGCUACAUCCGGCUGCAGUGGCAAAGAGCUAUUCCCUUAUAAACAUCUAAAAGUGCCUCCUGUAAUUAACCAGUUCACCCAGGCCUUAGACCGCUAAAGAACUACUCAACUGCUUAAGCUGGCCUACAAGCACAGACCAGAGACAAAGCAAGAGAAGAAGCAGAGAUUGUUGGCCCAGGCUGAGAAGAAAGCUGCGGGCAAAGGGGAUGUCCCCACUAAAAGGCCACUUGUCCUUUGAGCUGGGGUUAACUCUGUCACCACCUUGGUGGAAAACAAGAAGGCUCAGCUGGUAAGGAUCACACAUGAUGUGGAUCCCAUUGAGCUGGUUGUCUUUC